CUACGGGUCGCACCAGUGGGGAUAUUGCACAAUGGGCGCAAGCCUGAUGCAGCCAUGCCGCGUGUAUGAAGAAGGCCUUCGGGUUGUAAAGUACUUUCAGCGGGGAGGAAGGGAGUAAAGUUAAUACCUUUGCUCAUUGACGUUACCCGCAGAAGAAGCACCGGCUAACUCCGUGCCAGCAGCCGCGGUAAUACGGAGGGUGCAAGCGUUAAUCGGAAUUACUGGGCGUAAAGCGCACGCAGGCGGUUUGUUAAGUCAGAUGUGAAGUCCCCGGGCUCAACCUGGGAACUGCAUCUGAUACUGGCAAGCUUGAGUCUCGUAGAGGGGGGUAGAAUUCCAGGUGUAGCGGUGAAAUGCGUAGAGAUCUGGAGGAAUACCGGUGGCGAAGGCGGCCCCCUGGACGAAGACUGACGCUCAGGUGCGAAAGCGUGGGGAGCAAACAGGAUUAGAUACCCCAGUAGUC
rnacentral:rRNA from 1 species